rnacentral:rRNA from 1 species
UACGUAGGGGGGCUAGCGUUGUCCGGAAUCAUUGGGCGUAAAGAGCGUGUAGGCGGCCCGGUAAGUCCGCUGUGAAAGUCGGGGGCUCAACCCUCGAAUGCCGGUGGAUACUGUCGGGCUAGAGUGCGGAAGAGGCGAGUGGAAUUCCUGGUGUAGCGGUGAAAUGCGUAGAUAUCUGGAGGAACACCGGUGGCGAAGGCGGCAUCCUGGACCAAUACUGACGCUGAGGAGCGAAAGCCAGGGGAGCAAACGGG